AUGUGCCACGCGCGUCCACUGUGGUUCUGCGCGCGCCGUCCGCGCCCACCUGACAGCUGCUCGCGACGUGUUGUUAGCC
rnacentral:sRNA from 2 species